GUGCGAUUAGCUCAGCUGGCAGAGCACCUGACUCUUAAUCAGGAUGUCCAGGGUUCGAACCCCUGCUCGCGCACCA
rnacentral:tRNA from 1 species